rnacentral:rRNA from 1 species
CUGUAGGCUGCAACUCGCCUACACGAAGCUGGAAUCGCUAGUAAUCGCGGAUCAGCACGCCGCGGUGAAUACGUUCCCGGGCCUUGUACACACCGCCCGUCACACCAUGGGAGUUUGUAACGCCCAAAGUCGGUGGCCUAACCUUUAUGGAGGGAGCCGCCUAAGGCGGGACAGAUGACUGGGGUGAAGUCGUAACAAGGUACC